rnacentral:rRNA from 1 species
GACGAACGCUGGCGGCGUGCCUAAUACAUGCAAGUAGGACGCAGUUGCGAACGAGUGAGUAACGCGUAGGUAACUGCCUAUUAGAGGGGGAUAACUCUUGGACACGAUAGCUAAUACCGCAUACUAGUAGCUGGAUCUGCGUUGUAUUAGCUAGUAGGUCGGGUAAUGGCCUACCUAGGGGACGAUAAAUAGCCGACCUUGGAGGGUGGACGGCCACACUGGGACUUGGAAAAGGCCCAGAAUCCUACGGGAGGGAGCAGUAGGGAAACUUUGGGAAUGGGGGGAAACCUGACCGGGCAACGCCGGGGGAGUGAAGAAAGGUUUUGGAUUGGAAAGCUCUGUUGUUAAGGAAGCGGUACCUAACCAGAAAGGGACGGCUAACUACGUGCCAGCAGCCGCGGUAAUAC